CCACCACCUACUGGUACUAAACAUAGGUUACCGUUGUCAUUGAGAAGAAGUAAAAGAUAAACUAUAUAAUACACUGAUGAGUGACAUACAGAAUAAGGAAUCAAAGAAGAUCAAGAUGUAGAAUUUAAGAGAUUCAUGAAUGAAACCGGGGAUGCAGUAAAGAGGUUCUCUGACCAAUUAUCCGCCACCUCCCUCAUGACCUGGUAAAAUAGACUGACUCUCGAUAGGUUACGGGCAAAGAGGGCGGUAUAGGUAGAAUGAUUAAGUUCAUUACUGUACGUACAUUUGAUAACACAGCUCAUCUUUGGGAAAUGGAAAAGUGUUGCAAGAACUGUAUUAUGGGCUGCUUUCACCUGUAUGAGUGUCUUUGGGUUGUGUGGUUGUUGUUUGGUCCCGUGUGCGAGAGGUUUAAUCACCAGAACUCUAGAGAGAUGGAUAACGGAGCAGAUGGUGAGCUACGGACCGAGUCAAAGUUCAGACCAAUGAGACAAGUACCUACCGCCGAGCAAGAAGUUGUCAGAGCAACCGGAAUGAUGCCUUUGAUGGAAUUGACCCCGGAGAACACUAAAUCCAGCUCUGGGCCAAAGAUGGAUCUGUCUGAGGACGAUCCUUGUUUUGCUGUUGAGGAAGUGGUUGAAUAAAGCGUAUGCACAAUAAAUUCAUAUGUAUUGAAUGUAGUG
rnacentral:lncRNA from 1 species